UCAUUCGAUUCACAUAACAAGCCAUGAGGUAGGUAGUGCCUCAUUAUUACCAUACCCAUUUUAUAUGUGAGAAGAAACAGGAUUAAAAAGAGGCUAAAUACCCUGACCCCGAUCGCGUGGCUGAGUGCUGGGCCCAUGACGGCAACUCAGGCAUUCGAAUUGCAGGGUGUACGUUAACUACUUACAGCUGUGACGACGCAUUUCCAUUUUCUGUUCUGGCUCUGGACAUAUAUUAUAGAAAGCCUGUCAUGUCAUACUUGCCAUUAUAGUAAAUGUGACUGUUACUGCCAUCACCUAAACCUUGAACGUGAGAGUGUAAGCAAUGGUUUGAUUACUGUUUGUCAAGUUUUUAAAGCCUUUAAAAAAUAGACACUCUAGUCUUUAUCGAAUGGAUAAUAUAGUUACGAACAUACUUUGCUUGGAGGACUUCAUGUGUGGAAAGUUGAAGCAUUUCUUUUUGUGUUUUAGUCUCAAAAUACAUCAUCAUGCCCUCCAGAAAUAGGAAACUUAAAUAUAUAAAGUCAACCUAUAUCUCUACCACCAGAUGCAUCUUUCCCUCUGUUCCAGAAAGCCAGACUUUGCAAGGACAGAAAAAGAAAAAUUAGCAAGGAACAAGAUGUAGCUUUACCACGGGAAGAGGUGAUGAUUUCUAGUCAGCAGAGCCUCAAAAUGUCUUAUGUUGCAAAGUGGCAAAUAUGCAAGAUCAAGAUAAAUACGUAGGCAGGUUUCUGAAGUCACUGCACUUGUGAACUGGCGGCAGUCUUAAAGAGGACAGUGACGUCACCGUUACAGCAGAAUUGGGAGUCCCAGUCCUCACUCUACCACAGAAACAUGGCUUUCACAAUGAUACUCAGAAACACCUUUCUGAGCGCUCCAGAAUCCAGUUAAGAAGUGGCAGUACCCCCAGGGGGGCACAACGCUGAAAACAGCUACACUGCAAUGGGUAACAAGAGACAUUUCACUUUCCCAAGUCAGUCCCUCUUCCAAGCUAUCACAGCUCAAUGCCUGGGAGAGAGAGACUGAACACGAGCAGGAGAGGAGGAGAGAGAGGGAGGCACAGAAUCUGAAGCAGGCUCCAGGUUCCGAGCUGUCAGCACAGAGCCCGACACGGGGCUCAAACCCAUGAACCACGAGAUCAUGACCUGAGCUGAAAUCGGAUGCUUAAACAACUGAGCCACCCAGGUGCCCCAUAAUCCAGCAUUCUAACUCUUUGGAAGGUUGCCUGAAGGACUAAUUUCUGUGAUGCCUCAUUUGGAGAACUGACAGAGUGAGCAUAGUAUGGCUUUCCAAAUGCUGCAAAGAGCAAAGAAAUGUGAGUGGUGUGACUGGGAGAAGGUUCAUAACUUCAGGCUUCUCUCCCUCGCGAGGAAGGGAGAAGAGGCGAAUGUGCUUCUGCACCAACUUUUCAUAGGGCUGCUCAAGGCAAUGGUAUCUGUCUCACUUGAUGUGGGCACUGCUGGGGAGCUGGCGGGCUCUGGAUACCUGGCGGCUACUGAGUACAAGAAAGAGGCAGGCGGCUUGCUGCUGUCACAUCAGAGAACAGCCGUGGCACCAACAGGCACCAGAGGGAGCAAGAGACUAUGAGCUCCAGAAAGACCCGCAACACUCAGCCCAGGAAAGUCACGUUCUCCCCAAAAAAAGGUUUCCGAGGCCCCCAGAAUCUCUAGCUGGGUUCAUGUGCGAGGGUCACCUCCUAUACAA